CUUGACUGCAGUCUAUUUCUGUGAGAGAAACACUGCAAGCUGCUACACACACCUGACUACAGGAGACAUUAGCUGAGACUUGCGGAGUGUGUAUAGUUGGUGCAGUUCGAGUACGGAUCACAUUCUCACCA